rnacentral:lncRNA from 1 species
CGUUCUUUCACUUUGUGAAAGUUUCUAUGAGGUGCGAAUGCGGCUGUUUCCUGUAGGGUGUUUUAAACUGAAUGAAUUUACAAUCUUGAUCUCCUCGAACCUCCAACAAACACAGAGAUGGCAGAGAUAGUCAUGUCUCCAGUAAUCCAGCCUUACCUCCAACCGGGGAUGACCAUAGUCCAGCCAGAUGCCAUGUCUCCAACAAUCCAGCCUGAGUAUCAGCAGGUGAUGACUGUAGUCCAGCCAGAUGCCAUGUCUCCAACAAUAAUCCAGCCUCAGUAUCAGCAAGGGAUGACCAUAGUCCAGCCAGAAGCCAUGUCUCCAACAAUAAUGCAGCAGCCUCAGCCUCAGGAGGUGAUGACCGUGGUCCCUCCUGAAGCCAUGUCUCCAACAAUAAUCCAGCAGCCUCAGCAGGUGAUGACCAUGGUCCCUCCAGAAGCCAUGUCUCCAACAAUAAUCCAGCAGCCUCAGCAGGUGAUGACCGUGGUCCCUCCAGACGCCAUGUCUCCAACAAUAAUCCAGCAGCCUCAGCAGGUGAUGACCGUGGUCCCUCCAGACGCCAUGUCUCCAACAAUUAUCCAGCCUCAGCCUCAGCAGGUGAUGACUGUGGUCCCUCCAGAUGCCAUGUCUCCAACAAUAGUCCAGCCUCAGCCUCAGCAGGUGAUGACCGUGGUCCCUCCAGACGCCAUGUCUCCAACAAUAAUCCAGCCUGAGCCUCAGCACAUGAUGACUGUGGUCUCUCCAGUCCAGGCCAUAGUCCCACAAACUCAAGCAGUGGUGACUCAACCUAAUCUGAGAGAUAUACCAGCGAAGUUCACGUGUUCUUACUGCCUCGUGGACAUCAUCACGGUGACGCGGUACAUGGCUGACCCCACGGUGAACUGCGGCCUGUUCGGGAGCAGCUGUACAUUUAACGUCUGGCCGUGGUGUCUGGUCCCGUGCAGGUCCUGUACAGAUGUGGAGCACAAAUGUCCAAACUGCCACAACGUCAUCUACGUCUUCAAGCGGCAGUCGUGACGCAAUGCAUCAUGGGAACUUCAGGAGACUUUCACUACUGUGAAAAUGUUGAAAUUAAGAUUUUGGGUGCUGUAUCAAAUCUCAGAGCACAGUAAUAAAUACUGUAGAUACUGUAAUUUCCGGGCUAAA